UGGGGAAUAUUGCACAAUGGGGGAAACCCUGAUGCAGCGACGCCGCGUGAGCGAUGAAGCCCUUCGGGGUGUAAAGCUCUUUCGGCAGGGACGAUUAUGACGGUACCUGCAGAAGCAGCUGCGGCUAACUACGUGCCAGCAGCCGCGGUAAUACGUAGGCAGCAAGCGUUGUUCGGAAUUACUGGGCGUAAAGGGUGCGUAGGCGGCUUUUUAAGUUUGGUGUGAAAUCUCCCGGCUCAACCGGGAGGGUGCGCCGAAUACUGAGAAGCUAGAGUGUGGGAGAGGAAAGUGGAAUUCCUGGUGUAGCGGUGAAAUGCGUAGAUAUCAGGAGGAACACCGGUGGUGUAAACGGCUUUCUGGACCAUAACUGACGCUGAUGCACGAAAGCGUGGGUAGCAAAC
rnacentral:rRNA from 1 species